rnacentral:rRNA from 1 species
GACGAACGCUGGCGGCGUGCUUAACACAUGCAAGUCGAACGCUGAAGCUCAGCUUUUGUUGGGUGGAUGAGUGGCGAACGGGUGAGUAACACGUGAGUAACCUGCCCCCUUCUUUGGGAUAACGCCCGGAAACGGGUGCUAAUACUGGAUAUUCACUGGUCUUCGCAUGGGGGUUGGUGGAAAGGGUUUUUCUGGUGGGGGAUGGGCUCGCGGCCUAUCAGCUUGUUGGUGGGGUGAUGGCCUACCAAGGCUUUGACGGGUAGCCGGCCUGAGAGGGUGACCGGUCACAUUGGGACGGAGAUACGGCCCAGACUCCUACGGGAGGCAGCAGUGGGGAAUAUUGCACAAUGGGCGCAAGACUGAUGCAGCGACGCCGCGUGAGGGAUGGAGGCCUUCGGGUUGUGAACCUCUUUCGCUCAUGGUCAAGCCGCAACAAUGGUUGUGGUGAGGGUAGUGGGUAAAGAAGCGCCGGCUAACUACGUG